GUAGAGAGAAAGCUAGGUAAAGGUGGAUUUGGUCAGGUGUUUGUUGGACGACGUGUUACUAGUGGAAAUGAACGUGGAACCGGUUCUGCUGCCAUGGAGGUUGCUCUGAAAUUUGAGCAUAGAAACAGCAAAGGAUGUAAUGAUGGUCCUCCGUAUGAAUGGCAAGUUUACAAUGCUCUUGGUGGCAGUCAUA